rnacentral:rRNA from 1 species
UACGGAGGGGGCUAGCGUUAUUCGGAAUUAUUGGGCGUAAAGGGCGCGUAGGCGGCCCGGUAAGUCAAAGGUGAAAUCCCUCGGCUCAACUGAGGAACUGCCUUUGAAACUGUCGGGCUUGAGGCCGGGAGGGGGUAGCGAAAUUCCCAGUGUAGCGGUGAAAUGCGUAGAUAUUGGGAGGAACACCGGUGGCGAAGGCGGCUACCUGGACCGGUUCUGACGCUGAUGCGCGAAAGCGUGGGGAGCAAACAGG